GAUGAACGCUGGCGGCGUGCCUAAUACAUGCAAGUCGAGCGAACGGACGAGAAGCUUGCUUCUCUGAUGUUAGCGGCGGACGGGUGAGUAACACGUGGAUAACCUACCUAUAAGACUGGGAUAACUUCGGGAAACCGGAGCUAAUACCGGAUAAUAUUUUGAACCGCAUGGUUCAAAAGUGAAAGACGGUCUUGCUGUCACUUAUAGAUGGAUCCGCGCUGCAUUAGCUAGUUGGUAAGGUAACGGCUUACCAAGGCAACGAUGCAUAGCCGACCUGAGAGGGUGAUCGGCCACACUGUAACUGAGACACGGUCCAGACUCCUACGGGAGGCAGCAGUAGGGAAUCUUCCGCAAUGGGCGAAAGCCUGACGGAGCAACGCCGCGUGAGUGAUGAAGGUCUUCGGAUCGUAAAACUCUGUUAUUAGGGAAGAACAUAUGUGUAAGUAACUGUGCACAUCUUGACGGUACCUAAUCAGAAGGCCACGGCUAACUACGUG
rnacentral:rRNA from 1 species